rnacentral:snRNA from 1 species
CAACCUCAGGCAGGGGAGAUACCAUGAUCCCGAAGGUGGUUUUCCCAGGGUGAGGCUCAUCCAUUGCACUGCGGGUGUGCUGACCCCUGCGAUUUCCCCAAAUGCGGGAAACUCGACUGCAUAAUUUGUGGUAGUGGGGGACUGCGUUCGCGCUCUCCCCUA